rnacentral:rRNA from 1 species
GAGGAUGCAAGCGUUAUCCGGAAUGAUUGGGCGUAAAGCGUCCGUAGGUAGCAGUGUGUGUCUAUUGUUAAAGAGUUUGGCUCAACCAAAUAAAGGCGGUAGAAACUACACAGUUAGAGUGCGUUCGGGGCAGAGGGAAUUCCUGGUGUAGCGGUGAAAUGCGUAGAGAUCAGGAAGAACACCGGUGGCGAAAGCGCUCUGCUAGGCCGCAACUGACACUGAGGGACGAAAGCUAGGGGAGCGAAUGGGAUUAGAUACCCCAGUAGUCCUAGCCGUAAACGAUGGAUACUAGGCGUUGAGAGUAUCGACCCUCUCAGUGCCGUAGCUAACGCGUUAAGUAUCCCGCCUGGGGAGUACGCACGCAAGUGUGAAACUCAAAGGAAUUGACGGGGGCCCGCACAAGCGGUGGAGUAUGUGGUUUAAUUCGAUGCAACGCGAAGAACCUUACCAGGGCUUGACAUGUCUGGAACUCUGGGGAAACUCAGGGGUGCCUUCGGGAGCCAGAACACAGGCGGUGCAUGGCUGUCGUCAGCUCGUGUCGUGAGAUGUUGGGUUAAGUCCCGCAACGAGCGCAACCCUCGUACUUAGUUGCC